GACGAACGCUGGCGGCAGGCUUAACACAUGCAAGUCGAACGCAUGCCUUCGGGCAUGAGUGGCAGACGGGUGAGUAACGCGUGGGAACCUACCCCUUGGUACGGGAUAGCUCCGGGGAACAGGAGAUAAUACCGUAUGUGUACUGAGGGAAAAAGAUUCAUCGCCAUGGGGUGGGCUCGCAUCGGUUUAGGUAGUUGGUAGGGUAACGGCCUACCAAGGCGGGGAGCCGUGCCUGGGCUGAGAGGGGGAUCAGCCACAUUUGGACUGAGACACGGCCCACACUCGUACGCGAGGCAGCAGUAUGGUACAUAGUGCGAGGGGCGCAAGCCUGAUCCAGCCAUGCCGCGUGAGAGAGCAAGGCCCUAGUGUUCUACAUCCCUUUCACCCGUGACGUGAAUGACGGUAACCGGAGAAGAAGCCCCGGCUAACUUCGUG
rnacentral:rRNA from 1 species